CUGCUGAGCCAUCUCUCGAGUCCCUGAAUUUUUCUUUUAAAAAUAAAUUUCUGGGGCUGGAGAGAUGGCUUAGCAGU
rnacentral:miRNA from 1 species